rnacentral:rRNA from 1 species
CCAAUAGCGUAUAUUAAAGUUGUUGCAGUUAAAAAGCUCGUAGUUGAAUUUUGGGUUUGGCCGAUUGGUCCGUUCUUGUAACGAGUACUGGUCGGUCGGGCCUCACCGCCUGGUGAUGCGUAAUGUCCUUUAUUGGGUGUUGCGAGUAGCCAGGACUUUUACCUUGAAAAAAUUAGAGUGUUUAAAGCAGGCUUAUGCCGGAAUACAUUAGCAUGGAAUAAUAGAAUAGGACGAUGAUUCUAUUUUGUUGGUUUCUAGGACCAUCGUAAUGAUUAAUAGGGAUAGUUGGGGGCAUUAGUAUUCAAUUGUCAGAGGUGAAAUUCUUGGAUUUAUUGAAGACUAACUACUGCGAAAGCAUUUGCCAAGGAUGUUUUCAUUAAUCAAGAACGAAAGUUAGGGGAUCGAAGACGAUCAGAUACCGUCGUAGUCUUAACCAUAAACUAUGCCGACUAGGGAUCGGGCGAUGUUGUUUCAAUGACUCGCUCGGCACCUUAUG